UACGAAGGGUGCAAACGUUGCUCGGAAUUAUUGGGCGUAAAGCGCACGUAGGCGGCUCUGCAAGUCGGAUGUGAAUCCCUCGGCUCAACCAAGGAAGUGCAUCCGAAACUGCGGAGCUUGAGUACUUAAGAGGAUCGCGGAAUUCCCGGUGUAGAGGUGAAAUUCGUAGAUAUCGGGAGGAACACCAGUGGCGAAGGCGGCGAUCUGGGAAGAUACUGACGCUGAGGUGCGAAAGCGUGGGAGCAACAGGAU
rnacentral:rRNA from 1 species